rnacentral:tRNA from 1 species
GGUAGUAUGGCUGAGACAGCGGUAGGCUGUAAACCUACACACAGGAUAAUAACCUUACUGCCA